GGCCUGAUGGUCUAGUAGUAUGAUUCGCCCUUCGGGUAUCCAUUUCGAAAGAAGUAUAAUAUGGGCGAGGUCCCGGGUUCAAUUCCCGGUCAGGCCC
rnacentral:tRNA from 1 species